rnacentral:rRNA from 1 species
GACGAACGCUGGCGGCGUGCUUAACACAUGCAAGUCGAACGGUGAAGCGCCUUCCUUUUUGGUGGGUGUGGAUGAGUGGCGAACGGGUGAGUAACACGUGAGUAACCUGCCCCCUUCUUCUGGAUAACCGCAUGAAAGUGUGGCUAAUACGGGAUAUUCUGGGUCUGUCGCAUGAUGGGUCUGGGAAAGAUAUUGUUUCGGUGGGGGAUGGGCUCGCGGCCUAUCAGCUUGUUGGUGGGGUGAUGGCCUACCAAGGCGGUGACGGGUAGCCGGCCUGAGAGGGUGGACGGUCACACUGGGACUGAGACACGGCCCAGACUCCUACGGGAGGCAGCAGUGGGGAAUAUUGCACAAUGGGCGCAAGCCUGAUGCAGCGACGCCGCGUGAGGGAUGGAGGCCUUCGGGUUGUGAACCUCUUUCGCCAGUGAAGCAGGCCUGCCUCGUUUGUGGGUGGGUUGACGGUAGCUGGAGAAGAAGCGCCGGCUAACUACGUG